UUAAGCGACUAAGCGUACACGGUGGAUGCCCUGGCAGUCAGAGGCGAUGAAGGACGUGCUAAUCUGCGAAAAGCGUCGGUAAGGUGAUAUGAACCGUUAUAACCGGCGAUGUCCGAAUGGGGAAACCCAGUGCAAUUCGUUGCACUAUCGUUAACUGAAUACAUAGGUUAACGAGGCGAACCGGGGGAACUGAAACAUCUAAGUACCCCGAGGAAAAGAAAUCAACCGAGAUUCCCCCAGUAGCGGCGAGCGAACGGGGAGCAGCCCAGAGUCUGAAUCAGCUUGUGUGUUAGUGGAACGGUCUGGAAAGUCCGACGGUACAGGGUGAUAGUCCCGUACACCAAAAUGCACAGGUUGUGAACUCGAAGAGUAGGGCGGGACACGUGGUAUCCUGUCUGAAUAUGGGGGGACCAUCCUCCAAGGCUAAAUACUCCUGACUGACCGAUAGUGAACCAGUACCGUGAGGGAAAGGCGAAAAGAACCCCGGCGAGGGGAGUGAAAAAGAACCUGAAACCGUGUACGUACAAGCAGUGGGAGCACCUUCGGGUGUGACUGCGUACCUUUUGUAUAAUGGGUCAGCGACUUAUAUUCUGUAGCAAGGUUAACCGUAUAGGGGAGCCGCAGGGAAACCGAGUCUUAACUGGGCGUUAAGUUGCAGGGUAUAGACCCGAAACCCGGUGAUCUAGCCAUGGGCAGGUUGAAGGUUGGGUAACACUAACUGGAGGACCGAACCGACUAAUGUUGAAAAAUUAGCGGAUGACUUGUGGCUGGGGGUGAAAGGCCAAUCAAACCGGGAGAUAGCUGGUUCUCCCCGAAAGCUAUUUAGGUAGCGCCUCGUGAACUCAUCUUCGGGGGUAGAGCACUGUUUCGGCUAGGGGGUCAUCCCGACUUACCAACCCGAUGCAAACUACGAAUACCGAAGAAUGUUAUCACGGGAGACACACGGCGGGUGCUAACGUCCGUCGUGAAGAGGGAAACAACCCAGACCGCCAGCUAAGGUCCCAAAGUCAUGGUUAAGUGGGAAACGAUGUGGGAAGGCACAGACAGCCAGGAUGUUGGCUUAGAAGCAGCCAUCAUUUAAAGAAAGCGUAAUAGCUCACUGGUCGAGUCGGCCUGCGCGGAAGAUGUAACGGGGCUAAACCAUGCACCGAAGCUGCGGCAGCGACACUAUGUGUUGUUGGGUAGGGGAGCGUUCUGUAAGCCUGCGAAGGUGACCUGUGAGGGUUGCUGGAGGUAUCAGAAGUGCGAAUGCUGACAUAAGUAACGAUAAAGCGGGUGAAAAGCCCGCUCGCCGGAAGACCAAGGGUUCCUGUCCAACGUUAAUCGGGGCAGGGUGAGUCGACCCCUAAGGCGAGGCCGAAAGGCGUAGUCGAUGGGAAACAGGUUAAUAUUCCUGUACUUGGUGUUACUGCGAAGGGGGGACGGAGAAGGCUAUGUUAGCCGGGCGACGGUUGUCCCGGUUUAAGCAUGUAGGCUGAUUGUCCAGGCAAAUCCGGAUAAUCAAGGCUGAGGUGUGAUGACGAGGCACUACGGUGCUGAAGUAACAAAUGCCCUGCUUCCAGGAAAAGCCUCUAAGCAUCAGGUAACAUCAAAUCGUACCCCAAACCGACACAGGUGGUCAGGUAGAGAAUACCAAGGCGCUUGAGAGAACUCGGGUGAAGGAACUAGGCAAAAUGGUGCCGUAACUUCGGGAGAAGGCACGCUGGUGUGUAGGUGAAGCCCCUGCGGGUGGAGCUGAGACCAGUCGAAGAUACCAGCUGGCUGCAACUGUUUAUUAAAAACACAGCACUGUGCAAACACGAAAGUGGACGUAUACGGUGUGACGCCUGCCCGGUGCCGGAAGGUUAAUUGAUGGGGUUAUCCGUAAGGAGAAGCUCUUGAUCGAAGCCCCGGUAAACGGCGGCCGUAACUAUAACGGUCCUAAGGUAGCGAAAUUCCUUGUCGGGUAAGUUCCGACCUGCACGAAUGGCGUAAUGAUGGCCAGGCUGUCUCCACCCGAGACUCAGUGAAAUUGAACUCGCUGUGAAGAUGCAGUGUACCCGCGGCAAGACGGAAAGACCCCGUGAACCUUUACUAUAGCUUGACACUGAACAUUGAGCCUUGAUGUGUAGGAUAGGUGGGAGGCUUUGAAGCGUGGACGCCAGUCUGCGUGGAGCCAACCUUGAAAUACCACCCUUUAAUGUUUGAUGUUCUAACGUUGGCCCCUGACCGGGGUUGCGGACAGUGUCUGGUGGGUAGUUUGACUGGGGCGGUCUCCUCCCAAAGCGUAACGGAGGAGCACGAAGGUUAGCUAAUCCUGGUCGGACAUCAGGAGGUUAGUGCAAUGGCAUAAGCUAGCUUGACUGCGAGCGUGACGGCGCGAGCAGGUGCGAAAGCAGGUCAUAGUGAUCCGGUGGUUCUGAAUGGAAGGGCCAUCGCUCAACGGAUAAAAGGUACUCCGGGGAUAACAGGCUGAUACCGCCCAAGAGUUCAUAUCGACGGCGGUGUUUGGCACCUCGAUGUCGGCUCAUCACAUCCUGGGGCUGAAGUAGGUCCCAAGGGUAUGGCUGUUCGCCAUUUAAAGUGGUACGCGAGCUGGGUUUAGAACGUCGUGAGACAGUUCGGUCCCUAUCUGCCGUGGGCGCUGGAGAAUUGAGGGGGGCUGCUCCUAGUACGAGAGGACCGGAGUGGACGCAUCACUGGUGUUCGGGUUGUCAUGCCAAUGGCACUGCCCGGUAGCUAAAUGCGGAAGAGAUAAGUGCUGAAAGCAUCUAAGCACGAAACUUGCCCCGAGAUGAGUUCUCCCUGAGACUUUAAGUCUCCUGAAGGAACGUUAAAGACGAUGACGUUGAUAGGCCGGGUGUGUAAGCGCAGCGAUGCGUUGAGCUAACCGGUACUAAUGAACCGUGAGGCUUAACCUU
rnacentral:rRNA from 2 species